rnacentral:rRNA from 1 species
GACGAACGCUGGCGGCGUGCUUAACACAUGCAAGUCGAACGGAAAGGCCCUGCUUUUGUGGGGUGCUCGAGUGGCGAACGGGUGAGUAACACGUGAGUAACCUGCCCUUGACUUUGGGAUAACUUCAGGAAACUGGGGCUAAUACCGGAUAGGAGCUCCUGCUGCAUGGUGGGGGUUGGAAAGUUUCGGCGGUUGGGGAUGGACUCGCGGCUUAUCAGCUUGUUGGUGGGGUAGUGGCUUACCAAGUCUUUGACGGGUAGCCGGCCUGAGAGGGUGACCGGCCACAUGGGGACUGAGAGACGGCCCAGACUCCUACGGGAGGCAGCAGUGGGGAAUAUUGCACAAUGGGAGGAAGCCUGAUGCAGCAACGCCGCGUGCGGGAUGACGGCCUUCGGGUAGUAAACCGCUUUCGCCUGUGACGAAGCGUGAGUGACGGUAAUGGGUAAAGAAGCACCGGCUAACUACGUG